rnacentral:lncRNA from 1 species
AUGCCCCUCGUAUCCGGGUCAGUCAGAGAUGCACGGGACAAGGGAACACCCAGCCACCAUGUGCUCCGCAAACUUGCCGAGGCAACCGGCCCGCUGCAACCCCCCCCCCCCGCACCGACACCACAGCGAGCCUCCCAAGCCCCGGCGGCCAGCAACGCCCGGAGAUGGCGGAGACCCAGCCGGACACCGCCGCCGAGCGCUCCACCGAGAGCGGCAGCCCGGGAGGCGGACACCGCCUCCAGGCGCGCCUCACCGACCCGCGGCGGGGGCGGGGAGGCGGGGAGGGGGGCAGGAGCUCAGGGGACACGCCAGAGCCGGGACCGCGACACCCCCGCAGGGACGGGGGAAGCACCGGGGCGUGGGGAAGACCUCGCAGGCUGGUUCCCCGCGGGCGGCGCGUCCCUGCCCGGCCCUGGGGCCGCCGCCGACCGCCCCGCCGGCCCCGUGUCCCCCCAGGCCCGGCCCCGCCUCGGUCCGGCUCGGGCUCCGACCCCGGCCCACCACCGCGCCAGGCCCUCGCCCCCGGCGGACGCAGCACUUACCGGGCCGGGCCGGGCCCUGCGCCGCGGGGCCGCCGCCGCCGCCGCCACCACCACCCCGGGCCGGGCCGGGCCUGGGCCAGCGCGGGCCGCCCGGGCGGGGCGACGGAGACGGCGGGCGGGCGGGGGGACAGGACGGGGAGGGGGAGGGGGGGGAGGACAGGGGGGACCCGGGAUGGCCGGAACGGGGAGAAAAGGGGAAAGAAACAGAAAAAAAAGGGGGGGAGGGGGGGGGAAGAAGCUGCGGGCCCCUCCCCCGGCGGGCGUGCGCGCUGCGUCACUGCCCCGUGCGCGCUACGUCACCAUACCGCGCCCGCCGUCUGUCCGUUGUCGUAGCAACCGCCCGGACGCGGCGCCGUGGAAAGCUGGCGGGACGCAGCAGCGCCCCCCAGCGCGGUGGAGGGCGCAGCGGGGAGCAGAGACGCUACCUCCGCUUGGGGGCGGAGCCGGACCGCGACACCGCCUUCAUGGGGCGGAGCGGGGGCGGGACCGAGACGUCAGUCUCCACCCCCUGUGGCCCCGCCCUCCAGCGCGCAGCGCGUGGGUCACCGGCUCCGUUCGGGGGGGGCCUCCCCCGCCUCCAGGGACUCCCCAUCUCCUGAGGGGGCCCCCGCACCGCCCCGCACCAUUGGCGGGGCCCUGGGUGCUCCCCGUCGCCCCGGGGACUCACGCCGUCCGCGGGGACCCCGCCGUCUGCCUGGGCCCCCACCCCUGGAGUGGGCAGCGGCGUGGGACCGGGGUGGCCUCCCUUGGCCGGAGCGCGUUGCCCGGGGCCGAGCCCCAGCCCCCGGGCAGCUUCUGCCGAGCGGGCAGCCCCGGGCCGAGCCCCCCCCCCCGCCCGCCCCGUGCAAGGAGCGCCAUCCGCCCGGGUCCACCUUAA